UUUAACCUGUAAUACAUAUGAACAUCACACUUAUAAUUACACUAACAACUGUCAUUUGAUAUCUUACUAUUUUUUAUUACAUAAUCUUUACAACUCACUCUAUUUAAUAUGUACAUGCCAAAAUAAAACUGUACUAUGACUCAGAGACUCAAAAGAACCAGCUAUGAUAAUGGCCUUGAUAUCUGAUGUAGACCUUUGAUGAACUUCGCGUGCCUACUUUAUCUACAACCUGCGUGAGGUAAAAACCAACACGCUGAGCUAAUGCUCAGUGGGUGAUAACAACAAAUAACAAAAUAGCGUAAACAAGUUCACGUUUACAGAUAAUCAGAAUAAAAACAUCUUCUUUUUCCUUUAUUGCACAUUUUCUAUUCAUAGCAAAUCACCAUAGCUUAGUGCAUGUAAUAGAUGCAAACAUAUUAACACUCACUAAUAAGUUCACAAAAUCAAGUAUCAAUCUUAACUAAGAUCUUAGCCCUUAUAAACACAUAGUAGGAUCGACUAGGUAGAUAAGGAGUUAUAACGGUAGGCACAGGGUGCCGAACGGUAGGCUCAGAGGCCAAAUCUGUGAUAGCAGAGCUAUAUGGCCAUGCUUAUGAGGUACCAGAUAUGUAACCUCAAAUAUAGAUCAUGUAUCGGUAGCAGUACUGCGAACUCUGUAUGUUUAUAUGGCAUGCCAUACCCUUAUACUAACCUCGACUCCUAUUACGUUUACCAGGGCCAAGCACUAUUAAGUCAAUGUAUCAAUGUAAAAUGCAUGCCAUUUGAAGCUAUUUGCAUUCAUUUUCCAAGUUACAUAUAUCAUAUGCCAAGAUUUACAAUAUGGAAAUGUAGAAAACUACAUUCUGCCAUAUAUUGCAUCAACUUUUCAAGUAGUUUAGCGUUAUAAUUUAACUUCAUUUUCUUCAUAAGAAAUGUACAUUUAUGUCUUAUCUUUCCAACAAGGUAUGAUUCAUGCAAUUCUGAUCAUCCUAACUUAAGUUAUGAAUUUUUCUUUACAAGCUGCUCAAUCAGGUCUUAAUCAGUCCAGUAUUAGUACCUGUUUAUAGUAUCACAAAAAUUAUAAGAUUCAUACAUUUCCAUACAAAUUCAAGCUUAAGUGUCUUCUACAAAGUUUUAGGUAUACUUCUUAGGAUUCAUUUGGCACUGGUAUUAACAAAUUUCACUGAGUACAUAAUUAGUUAUAGUAUAAUCAAUACACACUGUUCCGGAUGCACUAACUCUGUAUCCAGUUUAGGUUCACUUCAAANNNNNNNN
rnacentral:lncRNA from 1 species